UCGAACAGAAAUAGAAAAAAUAGUGCAAAAAGUAGGAAUUUGUUGGUCUGAAAUGACCUCUGUGACAGCACCUCCCACCUCCCCAUUGUCACCCUCUGUACAGUCAUGGAAUUGGGAUAAAAGCUGUGCAGGGGCUCCAAAGCCCAGAAAUUUUUUUUUUUUUUUUUUUUUUUUUUUUUUUUUUUGGUGGCACUGGAUCUGCUCAGCCUGGCUGGAGAUCUCCUACCCCAGAAGGUGCCAGGCUGUUUCUGUUGGGAAAUGGGAUGGGAUCCUGCCCCAGAGCCCCCCAAAAACCCCCAGGAUGCAGCAAUUCCUCCAAUUUUUGGGCUCUGAUUCCCACUCUGGAUGAGCUUCAAGGUCCUGGCACCCCAAACCACCUCAGAGCACCUGAACCCCCCUGGGAGCUGCCCCAAAUUUCCUCUGCCAAGUGAUUCUCCCAGUGAGACAGAGCUUGGAAAACGGUGUUUAUUGGUAUUUAUAAAUAUAAACAUCAGGAAGAGUCCAUUUGAAGACGGAUAAUUGACUUAAAAGGACACUGUCAAGAAGUUUGAGCUACCUUAAUGCUGUCACCCUGGUCUGCAAACAGAAAAUAAAAUUGCUUUGGGUUCUGUGUUCUGGAGUUUUCCCUGGAAAACUCUGCUCUGGUACGAAGGGAUCAGUCAGCCAACUAUGCCAAAAAUCCCCAAAUUCCUGCUCCUCACUCUCCCCUGCCACGGUAGGAACUCAACAAAAGGGUUUUUUUGUUUUUGAAUUUUCCCAGAGUUGUGCAAAUCCUGUGAUUGCUGGGUGACCCCUGCUCCAUUCUCUGCCACCCUGAAACCUGGAGGGAAGUUCUGGGAAAUGAAGGUGCCCGAGGAGAGGGGGAGAAUCCACAGCUAAGGAGGAUUUGAAUAAAUAUCAGGGAUUAAAAGCCACCUAGAGGAGGGCAGUGACAGCAUCUUUUAACCACUGCAGCCUGGAGCUGCUCCCAGCAGAGAGCACAGGCUGGGGGAGACUUGGGGGGCAGCUCUGGGGACCCCCCUGAUGGGAACAGCUGCCUGUCCUUGGAAUUCCUGGGGGAAAAUCCCUUUCCAGACCCCAAAUCAGCCAUUCCUGGUGCUGCAGCUGCUCUUCCCCCAGCAGGAGUGACAGACACAGCUCCCCCAGUCCUGCCCCUUUAACCCUUUGGGAUCUGCCCAGCAGUUCCACACUGGGCCCUGCAGCUCAGUCUGGGCUCCCCUGGAGCCCCUGUGCAGAUUUUGCCUGAAACACCCCAAAAAAAAGCAGCCACUGACCCCCCCUCCCCUCCCCCAGAGCUGGGCCUGGCCCAUCCAAACCCAGCCUGGGCUCCUCCCAGGGCAGCACUUACCUGUGCAGGUGGGGAGGGUGGGAGGAGCCCCAGCACCCACAGGGAUCCCAGCCCUGCUCCAGCAGGGAAUCCUUAAUUCUUCACCAGGGCAACAAGGAAAAAACCUCAGCUUUGCUUUUCCUUGGGGAAAGGAUGGAGGGGACUCACAGGACAUGGAUCAGGAAUUCCCCCCUGUACUGAGAAUUGUAAAUUUGUAUGUGUAUCAUUCCCUGUAUGGGGAAUUCUGUCCUUGUCAUUGGGAUAAAAGCUGGAUUUGGGAUAAAUUUGGGACACCCAAUCCCUGAUCACACAGGUGAGGGAGCCCAGGAGAGCCCAGCCUGGGGUGCAGCUCCCUGUGCUCCUUUCAAAUCUUCCUGACAGCUCAGCACAGGCUCAGGCUUCUCCUGGGGAAAAAAAAAUUCCUUAUGGAUUUGUGGCUUUGCCUGGGAAAUCUCAAGAAAUGACUAAGUCAGAAAUUUGGAAAAAAAUUAAAAUUUAAAAAAAAAAAACAAA